rnacentral:lncRNA from 1 species
CGGCUUGGAUCUAGCAUUGCUGUGGCUAUGAUUUAGGCCGGCAGCUGCAGCUCUGAUUUGACCCCUAGCCUGGGAACUUCCAUAUGCUACAGGCGUGGCCGUAAAAAGACAAAAGAAAAAAAAAAAAAAAAAAAAAAAAAAAGGACAUAGAACCUGUUGGGGGCAGCAGCGGGGUGAUUAUGGAGGGUGGGCUUAGCUGUAAUCUCAAAGAGCUCAGGAAAGCAUUAGGGGAUGAGGUCCUAAGGAACAGGAUGCACCAAUGGACAAGGGAGCCUCUGAGACAGGGAACCUGGUGUCAUGAGGUCCACCUGUGCUUCAGGUGGUGUGGACCAGGCCCUGAGGAUCCACCUCCCAAACAGAGGAUACUCCCGGGCACAGGUCAUCUGAAUUCUGCGCAGUUAGCAGGAGAGGUUGAGGAAUAAUAAUAAUAGAAUUAGGAGGAAAUAAAUGUCUCGGUAACUCUGGUAUUUUUCCUAUCUGAAGGCUGUCCCUCAGAGUGAUCGGUGUCUGAAUGAUGGGUAUUCCAUGUGGGUACAGAGUGAUCGGCUAUUGUAAGUAUAAAGAUGAACUGGGGGAACACUUUUACUGGGAGAAGGAAAUGGAGGAUGGGGGUGACUGGAAACAGAGAAAGAGUCUAAUUUGGGUUAACUCUUGGAUCGUAAGCAGUUCCAGGGAAGGGCUGGGUGCUUCGUAAUACUUUGACAAAGUGAACAGAGCCCAUCCAGCUGUGCCCAGCUUGUGUCUGGUGAUGAACUCGGUCCCAGCUCUUGCUGGUGCAGAAGGAGAGGAGGAUGUGUGGACACUCUUCUAAAUUCACUUUGAACUCAUUCAGGGGCCACUGCCUUCUGUUUGGGAGCAGCCUGUGACCCAGCCAAGAAGGAACCUCCCAGCAAAACCUGGGACAGUAGUUUGUAAAACAAAGAAAAAGCUUUGUGAUGCAACCCACCCCCCCCCCGCACCCACACACGCAGGCACUUACAUAUACACCUGCUCACACACACGGAAACACACACAUCUCUUAGACAGAGCAGGGAUUUCCUAUAGAAGUUAGCCUGGAUUGAGGACUUAAAAAACCCUCUGUAAGAAAACAAGGAAGAAUUGCAGAAAGAGAGAGAAGCCAUCAAUGACAGAGUGGUAUAAGGACGUGAUUUGUGGCCGAGUGAACUAAAACUUCUACCCUUGGUAUUGCUGAUAUUAUACCUGGGCUCUGAGAGCCAGCUGAAGCUGACUCUUCAGGAAGAAAUGCCACCAAGGGCUGAUGUAAUUGAUCAGGAGUGGACUGUUCAGGCAGGAAGCAUCCUAGGGGAAGAGAACCCAAAAUGAGUCUCCACUACUAAACAUCUUAUGAGCAAGCUGGGGUGAAGGACAUGGACUGCCUUCAGUGGAGAGCAGAGGUCGUGGGGCUGGCCACAUCAAGACUCACCAGGGGUGGGGACAGUUAGGUGAGCUCCCUGAUUGCCAGCCCUCCCUCACCCCCUCCCCACAGCAGGAUAAGCAAGGACAUCCUUGGAUAAACAAAAAGAGCGGGGCCCCUUCCACGUGGAGGUUGCAUAAAAAUGGUUUUGCUAUAAAAAUGUAGAGCAACUUAGGGAUUUGAACUUGGAUAGGCCUGGAGGAGCAUCCUCUGUGGGCAGACUGCAUGUUUGGGCAUUUAGUGAAACACCUGAUGAUAGGAUCCUAUAAUUAUGGGAACCCUCUGGGGACAAAUCAUUAGGACUCUUUGAUGGGAAUGCAACCUUGUGUUUACAACUUGAGUAACCAGGAGACAGUCUGCCUUUCAUUAUCACGUAAUAACCUCUCACUUUUAUGGGAAGUUACUUCAGUUCCUUAAUUAGAUUUAACUGAAGGAUGAAAGUCCAUUUUUGCUACACAAAGCCCAAGAAAGGAAGCCCCCUGUGUUUCACACAGCAAUUGAUCAUGAAAGCCACAUAGUUCAAAGGUACACACAAAUACGAAAAUUAUGUUUUCUAAAGCUCCCUGGACCAGUGAAGGGUAACUUCAGAUGGACCCAGGGUUUUAAAUUUAAGUAAAAAGUUCUAUACUGGGGCUAGAUGUGGGGCAGACCUGCAGAAUGCAACACGGGCAUUGGGCAUCAUUAUGUGUCUUCUAACAUACAUAGCACCCAGCUCAGCAGAGGGCAUGUAAAGCUUGUGGAGCUUCCAAUGAAAUGAGUGUGCUAGGUCCUGGGAAAUAAACUGGUGGAUUCUUAUUUACUGAAUUUUUUUCCCAAGGACAAUAUCUCUCUGCUUUUUCCUGAGCAAUUCAUUUGUUCAAGUCCUCUGAAAAAUGUUAAGUCACAUUACCUCUUUGGCUUCUGGAAAGCCCGACAUUAACUAUGGCUCCCCUCCAUGGAGGGACUCAGAUUUGCCAGCAUAUCCUGAGAACACCCAGGGCACAUCUGGAUGGUUUUUAUUUUUGUGGCCUUCGAUUUUGUUUGCCCAGAUGCACACAGCUAUUUUUAUACUCUAUUUGGUCUUGUUGAAUUGUAGGUAUUUCUGUAAAUUGCCUUGAAGCAUUUUGGGAGUAAGUGGGAUAAAGGUAAGUAAAUAAAGAAACAUUGAUUGCAAGUUAAGGAAGUGAAACAAUUUAACUAUAUAUACUAAACUAAUGCAGUAAGAUCUAAACAAAUGCAGUAAGAGCAAAGUCAAGAAUACAGAUGAACCCUUCAAAAGCACAAACUUGAAAGCAGUAAGGUAAGCAAUACAUCAGUUUAUAACCACCCUUCUACUCCAAAUACAACGGCUUGCUGUUAGACCAAGGUGAUGGUCCCUAUUUUGUCUUUCCCCAAAAAGAUGUCAAGGAGUUCCUGUCAUGACUCAGGGGAAACGAAUCUGACUAGCAUCCAUGAGGUUGCAGGUUCUAUCCCUAGCCUCGCUCAGUGGGCUAAGGAUCCAGUGUUGCCAUGAGCUGUGGUGUAGGUCACAAAUUCAGCUUGGAUCUGGCAUUGCUGUGGCUGUGGUGUAGGCUGGCAGCUGUAGCUCCCAUUUGACCCCUAGCCUAGGAACUUCCAAAAGACAAAAAAAGAAAAGAAAAGAAAAAUGUCAAACUUUUGGAGCUUCUUGGUCCUUCAUGGAAACAAAACCUGGUGGCCCUGCCUCCAGUGAUCCCCAAACAUACCCUGAUGUCUUGCCCUGUAGACUGAUCUGGUUGUUCCUUUGCAAUUAAGUAUCUUCUGUGAGCUUUGAUAAGCACUGAAUUUGUCCAAGGUAAAACAUUUUAACAAGUGUCUUCAUGCAACAUCUGUUAUUUUGUGGAUUAUAUAUGGAUUAUAUACGCUGCCUUAGAUGCCAGGCAUGAGGAAGGUAAAGCUGACCUUGAAUUUGGAAUAGCUUCUGGAUAGACACAACAAAUAUGCUCAUAAAUCAUCUUUGUUAAAAACUCUGAUUCUUCUCAAGUUCUUUUAGCAAUGCUGUGCUGAGUCCUUACAUUUCUACGCCAUGCAACAUAAAAGGACAAUUUUAGCUCCUAAAUAUUUAAGAUCGUCAGUGCCGAAAAUGAAUGUCUUGGUUUUAAAACUGUGACUUAUGGAUUCCACCAGAGUUGUUCUACAAAAGAGAAGGUAAUGGUACUAAUAUUCUCAUUGGCCAAUCCAUAUCUGUGAUAUUUUAGUCAGUGUAUUAAGAGAAAUGCUAAUUUUCCAAACUGAAGCUUAGUUAACCAACAAAGAAUGGAGCAGUGACUAGCAGCACUGGAUCCAAAUUGUAUUAGGAAAGUGUGAGAAAAAAAACUCUACUGGGAGCUCCUCCCCAUUGUGGCUCCCCAUUGUGGUUAAGAACCCAACUAGUAUCCAUGAGGAUGUGGGUUCCAUCCCUGGCCUGACUCAGUGGGUUAAGGAGCCGGCAUUGCCUCAAGCUGCAGUGUAAGUCUCAGCCACAGCUCGGUUCCCAGAUUGCUGUGGUGUAGGUUGGCAGCUGUAACUCUGAUUUGACCCCUAGCUUGGGACUCUCCAUAUGCCUCAGGUGCAUCCUUAAAAAUAAAAAGAAAAAGAAAAAGAAAACUCUAUCAAAGAACAGAAUUGGGAAGAAUGGUUGUUCAGAAGCCUAUCAAGUGGAGCAAGAGUCUAAUUUCUUCUGACAUAAAAAGGUCUUGGGUAACGAGGGUCUGGUAUUCACCUCAAUAUUAGAAAGAAUUUUUAAAGAAUGGCAAGCGUUCAGAAUUGGAAUGAUAUGCCUUGGAGUUUUUAGCAAUGUCUCUGGAAAUGUUCAGGCUGACCCUGGAUGUCCUCAUGAGUUACAGCACCAGGGAGUCACCGCAGUGGGUUGGGCAAGAACCAGAGAGAUUCAAGGUUUUUUUUGAGUGUAAAGUCCUCUAUUUUUUUGCAACAUAUCUGAUAUUCCUCACUGGUGGAAGUUCACAGUCUGAUGAUCAGUUUAUCUAAUGUUGGUCACGGAAAAACAAGCGAAUAAUAAUCAAACAUUUGACCUUUAGAAUAAUUUGUCACGCCUUCUAGGACUUGCUAACCUGCAUGCACCACUGAGGUGUAGCAUGACUCCUAGUAAAAUGCAGUUAGGCUGUAAUUGGCAUGAAGGAAGAUACUGGAACUUCACAGAACUCACAAGAAGGAGCUAAACUUGUUCAGGAGUUCCUGUCAUGGCUCAGUGGUUAACAAACCCAACUAGCAUCCAUGAGGAUGUGGUUUCGACCGACCCCUGGACUCACUCAGUGGAUUAAGGAUCCGGCAUUGCCGUGAGCUGUGGUGUAGGUGGUAGACGCAGCUCGGAUCUUGAGUUGCUGUGGCUGUGGACCUCUAGCCUGGGAACCUCCAUAUGCCAUGGAUGCAGCCUUAAAAAGACAAAAGACCAAAAAAAAAAUUGUUUGUUCAUAGAUGUUUGCAUGUGUGGCAGAAUUUUGCACAGAGGUCCAAAUAGUUUUUAAUUAUUUUGACCACCACCAUUUUCUCCAACAUCCUGGUGCUCUUCGAAUGAAUUGCAGUGGAAAAGGUAACUUCCUGACUCUCUGUGGUCUGGAAAGAUGAUGAGACACAAGCCAUCGGGAACAAUGGGCAUAGGACUGUGAUGUUAACGCCUGGGUCACUCCCUGGGAGAAAGGUUGAUCCAGAAACGGAACGCAUUGCUUGUUUUAUUUCCAAUCAGGCUGCUCAUUUGAAUUCGUAUUCAUUGCUUUAUUAGGCUGAAAAUUACACAAGAAUUACACAGGACUUCUAUUUGGAUCAUUGGCUCAGUCAUCACUUUGAUGUUUUAUUUAUUGACGCAAAAAAGGACUUGCCUUUCAAGUUUGUUAUCUUUCCUUUCCAUGAAAUUUCUCAAAGUAUCAAGAAACUAGCUCCACAGGACUGUCUACCUCGUUUGAAGUUGGCACAGGAUUCUGACGUGUUAUUGGUGCCCCUGGGUGUUUCCUGCCAUUUAGUUUCAAGCCAAUAAGGAAAUGCAGGGAUUGGCUGGAAUUCGCUAUGAACAGUGAAGACAGACAUUUGUGCUGGAACACACUCAAAGAAGGUUCCUUGGAAAAUGCAUUUGAUCGUCCCAGGGACUUUGUUUUCUUGGCUAUUGAAAUGAUUUUUGUUUGGAAAUUAGAGCUAUUUCUCAUCUGAGACCAGCUCUUUUGUGAAAUCUGCACUUCCAUGUUUAUGCCAUCCUUGUAUGACAUCAUCCACUUGUUUCCAUGGCAAAAAGUAACAGUUAAGGAAGAGAAAAUAUAGAAUAGAAUAUUUUUUGGAGAAACACCUAUUCAAAUCCUUUGUCCAUUUUUUAAAGCAAGUUAUAUGCUCUCUUUUUUUUUUUGCUGCUAUUGAGUUGUAGGAGUUCCUUAUAUAUUUUGCAUAUUAGCCCCUUAUCAGAUGUAUGGUUCACUAUAUUUCCUCCCAUUCUGUAGAUUGCUUUUUCACUCUGUUGAUUUUUUUCUUUGCUGAGCAGAAGCCUUUUGGUCUGAUGCAGUCCAUUUAUUUAUUUUGGUUUUUGUCGCCUAUGCUUUUGGGAUCACAUCUGUGAAGUCACUGCCAAGACCAAUAUCAUGAAACUUUCCCCUGUGUUUUCUUCUUAGAAGUUUUACAGUUUUAGGUCUUAUGUUUAAGACUUUAAUCCAUUUUGACUAUUUUUUUGUCUAUGGUGUAAGGGUUCACUUUCACUCUGUAUGUGGAUAUUCUUUUUUCCCAAAGCCACUUGUUUCAAGAGAUCCUUCUUGGGUACUCCUGGAACCCUUGUUGAGAAUCAGUUGACUGUA